GAGUGUUAUUGAUUUGGUUAUGUGUACGCCGUUGUUAUUUUCAUGUAUUGAUCAGUUUGAAGUACUUGAUCCGAAUUUAUUAUCGGACCACUGUGUGGUACAAUUUCACAUGACUUCUGUUAAAAAUUAUUGUUGUUUUAAUGAAAGUGAUAUAAAUGAGCGCGAUACAGUAUCGCAUAAAGUAUCGCACGUAUUCAAAUGGGAUAAUGACAAAAAGGAUAUUUAUAUACAAUCUUUCAGUAAUGCAGAAACUUCUCAAUCGUUGAUUAAUAUAUGUAAUACUAUCGAUCUUACGAAUAGUUUUGCGUCAUUAGAUAAUUGUUUGGAAAAUGUCUGUUGUGUAAUUGAUAAUGUGUGUUCACCUUUAUUUAAGAAGACAAUAAACUAAUAAAUAAUAAAAUAAUAUAUGGUUUAAUGACGAGUGUCAAAGGGCAAAAUCUGAAUUCUAUAAUAACUUGUUCGUCAUUGACCAUAUGUUGUAAUAUGUGUGUACUCAAGGGCUUAAAGCCUAAUGUAUGUUGAAAUAAACUCUAUAAACUCUAAAAAAAACUCUAUUUAAAUUGUUUGUGUAUAAGUACAGAGCAUUCGAAAAUGAGUGAAAACGAAGACAGUUUAUCUGACCACAGUAAUGAAAAUCUACCCAUAAAGAAUGAGCAGCUGACUGCAGGAACCAGCUCUGGAGGACGCUAUAUACCUGAACAUUUCAAAGCGACUCGCCAGAAGUUUGAACAAAUGGCAACAGUGGUCAUAGUACCACAGGAAAGAGGUCUUAAGACAAAGCCGAUGUCUGCGAAACAAUUUCAUGACACCGAACUAAAUGUGAAACCUGACGUGAGACCUAAAGAGAAUAAAACAGAUACGAAGCAAUUUUCAUCUAAACCAAACCGUUCGUCGACAGAUUUAAUGCGUAAAAACGGACAAAGCAUUCGUAAACAACAAGAAGAUGUAAUACUAUCGGAAUCUCGAGUCAAGCCACCGAUACCAGGUCCUAGACAUCGUAUCCUAGACACAUACACCAUAUCCUCAGGAAGAGAAGAAGGAGCAUGUGGGGGAGAUCCCAUAGAUUCAGCUUCAUUGCGCGUGAAUAGUGGUAUGCACAUUGAACAAGCAGUCGCGCAAGCAUCUUGUUACACAAAACCAAAUAUAAAGGAACAUGACUUUUUUGGACAAGAUAGUGCACAUGAAAUCCCGUAUGGUGGUAGCGACUUUGUUCAGGUUACGGGUAGUCAUAACAAACCUAUGUUGUGUCAACCACACCACACUUCAGAGCGAGAAGAGAAAAGAAGUGAGCUGCAGGGUAAAAGGUCUGUUUGCCGGGACCUACAUAUCCAUGUGCAUAUCUAUAAUGAUGAUGUCGAAAACCACGAACAGAACGAUACCAUGAGUGACAUGUUUGAGGACGAUGAUACAGCGAGCCAAAGCAGUAUUCGCAGAAUGAGACAAUCCGCAGUUCCACCUCGAGGAAGACAUCCUAUUCUCAUCCAUAUUCAUAAGGACAGCAUGGAUAUCUUCGACCAAAAUCAGAAGACGCCAAAACAGAGGUAUGAGACGGAAGAUACUGACAAAGAUUAUUAUCCAUCAGACGAUGAACCUCCUCCGCAAGUUCCACCAAGGAAGCCCGUCAAAUCAAAUGCAACACCCUAUCUAGAGAAACCUUAUGACACACCUGACGAUUGGCGAUACGACAAUGGAAAAUCUACGACGAAAUCAGAGCAGUCCUCACAGCAGUCCUCUUUUGUACCAGAAAGAAAGGCCAGAAAAGGAACACGUUUCUGGAUUCAAUCCAACAAAGAUUACGACCUUCCAGACGCGAAAGUUCUGGAGAUCUAUAGCUCGGACCUGUAUUUGAAAAACCAAGUGAGGGAGCUGUGUGGAAAUCCAUGGUUUUACCUGUACCCAGACGUUAAAGAUGCCCAUAAAUACCUCAGUUUGAGGAAUGGAGGGGCAAAAACAUACAAAUGUCCAUACUUCAGCCGAAACGUGUGGCAUCAAUAUGUGUCUUUAAUUUUAUCUGCAACGGAGGGGCUGAACAAUCUGUCAAGCAUGCAAAAAAAGGAGAUGGUUGUUUUGCACUUGUGGCUGAAAACAUCGAGGAUAGCCCUUUUCAACCGUUCACCAUCAUUGUGAUCAAAGAAAAGAGACAUAUCCGCGUACCAAUAUUAAAAGCACCCUCUGGCGAUAGCCAUUCGCCAUCAAAACUGAAGUUAUUUGAUAAAUUCUAUGACACCAUUGUCGAAAUUCUUGACGACCUGAUUUGCAACAGCAACAAAGAGCUUGGUUUCAAGCUAAGGAAUCCGACCGAUGCAUCUAAAUAACAAACAAAUACUUCUUCGUAGAAGAGUGUUACGUUGAAUUUGCAUCCCAUCAUGCACAUAACGAACAAAACACACGUUCAACUGGCGAAAUUUAAACGCAUUUCAUCAACAUUGUGUUAAUAUCUUCCUCAGACGUCAUAAUUGUUAUCUGGCUGAUUUAAAACAAUGUAGAAAAGAAUAACACUAUUUUAUGCAUGGUGUUUCUAAUAAUGCGUAUGCCUUUGUAUGCGGUCUCGUUUAAUGAACACUUUCACAAUCUAAAUGUGCGAUUAGGCCGUUCGACUGAAGCAAUGCAAAGUGACACUUAUUUUAAAGUAUUGUUCUGUUUGAUGUUUUUAACCGGUUAUAUAAUAAUAGGCCGUAUAUAAACAUGUAAUAAAAUAUACUAUAUCUUUAUUCAAUUAAAUUGUGAAAUCAA